rnacentral:rRNA from 1 species
CACGUAGUUAGCCGGAGCUUAUUCUUCAGGUACCGUCCUAAGUCUUUCCUGAAAAAAGGACUUUACAACCCUAAGGCCUUCAUCGUCCACGCGGCGUCGCUGCAUCAGGGUUUCCCCCAUUGUGCAAGAUUCCCAA